UGUCACCAGCCCCACUCUGAUGUGGCCGUGACAUCAGUGGGGUUGGUGCCAGCGGCACAGUGUGGGAAGGGACUGGGAGUUGACCUUCCUCAGCAUGUGGCCAUGGAGUCCAGGGAUCUCUCCUGUCGAAUGUUGUCGUGUCAUGGGCUCGUGUCUGUGUCCAGCGGUGAGGCUAGGAGAGAAGCAAGUAGAGAAGCAACAAGGGAACGGCCAUGUCAAAUACCAGGCCUCUCCUGGGCCCACCCUGUCACCAGCCCCACUCUGAUGUGGCCUGACAUCAGUGGGGCUGGUGCCAGUUGCACAAUAUGGGAAGAUUGGGAGUUGACCUUYCUCAGCAWGUGGCCAUGGAGUCCAGGGAUCUCUCCUGUAGAAUUUUGUCGUGUCAGGGGUUCGUGUCUGUGUCCAGCGGUGAGGCUAGGAGAGAAGUACAGGCAACAAGAGAAGCGCCAUGUCUACUACCAGGCCUCUCCUGGGCCCCCCCUGUCACCAGCCCCACUCUGAUGUGGCCUGACAUCAGUGGGGCUGGUGCCAGUGGCACAAUACGGGAAGAUUGGGAGUUGACCUUCCUCAGCAAGUGGCCAUGGAGUCCAGGGAUCUCUCCUGUCGAAUGUUGUCGUGUCCUGGGCCCGUGUCCAGCGCUGAGGCUAGGAGUGAAGCAAAUUCGGGCAACAAGACAUCAGUGGGGUUGGUGCCAGCGGCACAAUAUAGGAAGGGGCUGGGUGUUGACCUUCCUUAUCAUGUGGCCGUGGAGACCAGGGAUCUCUCCUGUCGAAUGUUGUCGUGUCAGGGGCUUGUGUCCAGCGGUGAGGCUAGGAGAGAAGCAAGUAGAGAAACAACAAGAGAACGGCCAUGUCUACUACCAGGCCUCUCCUGGGCCCACCCUGUCACCAGCCCCACUCUGAUGUGGCCUGACAUCAGUGGGGCUGGUGCCAGUGGCACAAUAUGGGAAGAUUGGGAGUUGACCUUCCUCAGCAUGUGGCCAUGGAGUCCAGGGAUCUCUCCUGUAGAAUGUUGUGUCCUGGGCUCGUGUCCAGCGGUGAGGCUAGGAGAGAAGCAAAUAUGGGCAACAAGACAUCAAUGGGGUUGGUGCCAGCGGCACAAUAUGGGAAGGGGCUGGGAGUUGACCUUCCUUAGCAAGUGGCCAUGGAGUCCAAGGAUCUCUCCUGUAGAAGCUGAGACUUCCAGCGGAGUGCUGGAAGAAGGCUGUAGCCAUGGUCUUGCUCUGUCCUUUUCCAGGAUUCUCUCUGCAAUAAUAAAUAAUAAAAAAAAAAAACAGCUGGAGGGGAGCGG
rnacentral:lncRNA from 1 species